rnacentral:rRNA from 1 species
GACGUAGGGCGCGAGCGUUGUCCGGAUUUAUUGGGCGUAAAGAGCUCGUAGGCGGCUUGUUGCGUCGGCUGUGAAAACCCGCGGCUUAACCGCGGGCCUGCAGCCGAUACGGGCAGGCUAGAGUUCGGUAGGGGAGACUGGAAUUCCUGGUGUAGCGGUGAAAUGCGCAGAUAUCAGGAAGAACACCUAUGGCGAAGGCAGCACUCUGGGACGGUACUGACGCUGAGACGCGAAAGCGUGGGGAGCGAACAGG